rnacentral:rRNA from 1 species
GAUGAACGCUAGCGGCAGGCUUAAUACAUGCAAGUCGAGGGGCAGCAUGGUUGUAGCAAUACAACUGAUGGCGACCGGCAAACGGGUGCGGAACACGUACGCAAUCUACCCAAAACUGAUGAAUAGCCCUCCGAAAGGAGGAUUAAUACAUCGUAACUUAAUGAAGUGGCAUCACCUUAUUAAUAUAGCUCCGGCGGUUUUGGAUGAGCGUGCGCCUGAUUAGGAGUUGGCGGGGUAACGGCCCACCAAGCCAGCGAUCAGUAACUGGUGUGAGAGCACGACCAGUCACACGGGCACUGAGACACGGGCCCGACUCCUACGGGAGGCAGCAGUAAGGAAUAUUGGUCAAUGGACGCAAGUCUGAACCAGCCAUGCCGCGUGAAGGAUGAAGGUCCUCUGGA